UCGCACGAGAAAGCAGGAGCAAUCUUGUGAGUAAAGUGGCGUACGGGUGAGUAACACGUGGAUCAUCUACCUCUUGGUGGGGAAUAACCCUGGGAAACCGGGGCUAAUACCGCAUAAGCCUGCGAAGGGAAAGCAGCAAUGCGCCGAGAGAGGAGUCCGCGGCCGAUUAGCUAGUUGGCGGGGUAACGGCCCACCAAGGCGAAGAUCGGUAGCCGGCCUGAGAGGGCACACGGCCACACUGGCACUGAAACACGGGCCAGACUCCUACGGGAGGCAGCAGUGGGGAAUCUUGCACAAUGGAGGAAACUCUGAUGCAGCGACGCCGCGUGAGCGAUGAAGCCCCUCGGGGUGUAAAGCUCUUUCGACGGGAAAGAUAAUGACGGUACCCGAAGAAGAAGCUGCGGCUAACUACGUGCCAGCAGCCGCGGUAAUACGUAGGCAGCAAGCGUUGUUCGGAAUUACUGGGCGUAAAGAGUGUGUAGGCGGUGCUCUAAGUCUGUUGUGAAAUCUCCCGGCUUAACUGGGAGGGUGCGGCGGAGACUGGAGUGCUAGAGUGUGGGAGAGGUAAGCGGAAUUCCUGGUGUAGCGGUGAAAUGCGUAGAUAUCAGGAGGAACACCUGUGGUGUAGACAGCUUACUGGACCACGACUGACGCUGAGACACGAAAGCGUGGGUAGCAAACAGGAUUAGAUACCCUGGUAGUCCACGCCCUAAACGAUGCAUACUUGGUGUGAGCCAUUCAUUUUGGUCGUGCCGGAGCUAACGCGUUAAGUAUGC
rnacentral:rRNA from 1 species